rfam:Schistocephalus solidus strain NST_G2 genome assembly, scaffold: SSLN_scaffold0002833
GGCCUUGUAGCUCAGUUGGCUAGAGCGUUGGCUGUACUAAAGCCUUCCAUUUACUGGCGUGGGUUCGAAUCCUACUAAGGCCA